rnacentral:sRNA from 1 species
AUUCUACCCAUACAGGGAGGGAUGAGAAGCUUCGACUAAGGUUCGACUCGAGCGCCAGCGAGAGAGCGUUGCCGCAGGCAA